CAGUCGCCGCGGGAAUACGUAGGCAGCGAGCGUUGUUCGGAAUUACUGGGCGUAAAGAGUGUGUAGGCGGUGCUCUAAGUUCGGUGUGAAAUCUCCUGGCUUAACUGGGAGGGUGCGCCGGAAACUGGAGUGCUCGAACGUGGGAGAGGAAAGCGGAAUUCCUGGUGUAGCGGUGAAAUGCGUAGAUAUCAGGAGGAACACCUGCGGUGUAGACGGCUUUCUGGACCAUUGUUGACGCUGAGACACGAAAGCGUGGGUAGCAAACAGGAUUAGAUACCCCAGUAGUCCCUGUCUCUUAUAU
rnacentral:rRNA from 1 species